GUUAAUCAAUUGAUGGGUUACUAAAUUGAUGAUUUUUCAGGAGUAUAUCCCCCACCACCUACUUCACAUCCACCAAAGCAGGAGGUGCGGGUGCGUCCUCCUCCUCCUCCUCCGCCGUCUUGUCCAGCACCAGUGCAAGGGUACUAUGAAGCCGGUCCUUAUGUGGCACCACCUCCAGUUAGUGACCCUAUGAAAUAUGGUCCUCAACACCUCCAACAGCCACCUCCUCCAGAAAGAACUAGUCAGAGGGAUGAUGACUUUGGCACAGGAUGGUAACUGAGCAUUUUUUUUCCCUUUUUAUUUAAAUAAUGAUUCACUGUGUACUUAUUUAUUUAUCCUUUUCCUAUGUGACACAGUUGCUGCUGCUGAAUCUAGAACGCGUGCUUUGAAGGACUAUGAAUGGUUCUCUGUAAAAUUUGCAGCUUAUAAUUGUUUUUCCCUUGUGUUUCUUGUUGGAAAUAAUAAUCAUUUUCGCUCUUUUUAUGUCACUGUACGUACUACGUUUAACAUUUAAUCACGUUGCUCUUUAAUUAUUAAUAUUUUUCUCCGUGCUACAAUUUUUGAUGGCCAGGCUAAAUGUUUGAGGGUAUCAGAUUGUUUGGUAAUUAGUAUUUUUUGAAGGUUUUUUUUGUAAUAUUUUUAAAAAAUAUAUUUAAUAAAGAUAUGUUGCAUUGCAAUAUUAAACACAACUCGAUUUUUUAAAAGCUUAAAACAAUAUCAUUUCAAUUCUUUUUGUUUUAAAUCAAAGAUUUAAGUUGAUCCAACUAAACCUUCAACCCAUGAGCCUCGAAAUAGAUAUAACCUGGGUGGUAUCUUAUAACUAUGCUAUUAAUGACUUUAAUUGUCACGUCUCGGUGUUCGGCUUGUAAAGGAAACAUAUGAACUUUCAAAGUGUAUAAAUAAUGUUGGUAUCAUAUAGAUUAAGUUGAUAAAUUAGGCAUUUAGUACAAAUUCACGAGUUAAUCUCACUUAAACUUUCAACCCAUGACACGAGACUCACUCGAAACUAGAUACAACCUGGGUGGUAUCUUAUAACUAUGCUAUUAAUGACUUUAAUUGCCACAUCUCUGUGUUCGGCUUGUAAAGGAAACAUAUGAACUUUCAAAGUGUAUAAAUAAUGUUGGUAUCAUAUAGAUUAAGUUGAUAAAUUAGGCAUUUAGUACAAAUUCACGAGGGAUAUCUUGUUCCCAAGUUGAAGAACAAAUAAAAGAAUUACAGUUGUAUGACUUCUACAAGAAUGGAGACCUGAGCUAUUCUCACAAACGUGAAUUGCUCAUGCAAACUAGUUUCAGUUCUUGAUGGAAAAUCGCUCUAUCCAUUCUGUCAGGCAAUCGGAGGAGCUCUGUGGUAUGGUGGUACCCUUCCAGGGAAGAACAUUUGUCUAAGAAAACAAGGGGUGAAUGGUGCUGUUACCACUCACUACUUCUAGACUUUCCCUUUCUGUUUUAGUCAAAGAGCUCGGGACUGAUACCAUGCCUUUUAUAGGCUUAAAAAACAGCAAAGUUUUGACAUUUUCUGUAAAACAUUUAGGCAAUGAAUUGCUUUCAAAUAAAACCAUGGGAUCCAAAACAGGGGGAGAUUGACAGUUUUGUUGUUACAUUAUUGUCACAAAGUAAGUUAUUGAACCCAUUUUUGUUAUCAUCAGGCAAUGUAUACAGAGCUUAGGAUCAGUUGUUCACUUGACAAGUCUAUUUGACGUUUGGAAGCUCUUCAUUUAAGAUCUAAGAUUUUUUCGUGUAAUCACAUGUUUGCUUGACCUAAGACUUGUAAUCAUAUCAACCAUGAUACCAAAAUGAAAAAUCAUUUGUUUGUAAAUUAGUCCUUUAAUUUGUUUUCCAUAACAUUUUUAAUUUUUUCCUACAAUGUUCUUUAUUUUUAGUUAAUUCUUUUUAAUAUUUAUAGGUCCUGUAAGGUCUUUACCUAUAUAUUUUGACCUAUUUUAUAUAAAUCACUUAUUACAAGCAAAAUAAAAAGUUUGAUAUUUUUAUGUGAAAAUAUCAUUUCUUCCAAAAAAAAAAAAAGAGUUCAUCUAAGUAUAGUAAAGAUAUGGGUUUGCUUGAGUAUUGUUUUUUAAAAAAUUAUUGAUUGUUGAAUUUGUUGAAAGGAUAAACUUCUUCUUUUUUUACUUUCUAAAAAUAUGUUUAUCUUGAAAAAAUUAUUAUUAAAUUAAUAUUUUUUUUCAAUAAUUUUGAUGUGUUAAUAUUAUAAAAAGAUUCUGAAAAAAAAUUAUUUUAAUAUAUUUUCAAGUAAAAAAUAAAACAACACUUUUAAAAAACACUUUAUAAUACUAAGCACAUAAUUAAUGCAUUAUAAUAUAUAAGUAUAUAUGACAGAACGGGCAUAUGGGAAGGGAAAUUUAUGAAGUUUAAUAUGAAUUUAACAGUCAGGGGAUUAACUUAUUAUUUUCAAAAUCAAAAGGACUAAAUCGCAAAAUAAUAAAAAAGGAAUUAAAUUAUAAUUUUCCCACAACAGAAAUGUUUUGUCCUUGUGAGCCUGAGACUUCAGUAGAGACCCAAAUCAGUCACUAGCUACUCAUAUUUUACCUUCUAACAAAUGGAGCAAAGUCCAAUUAUGAUCUAUCUAUGAAAUUGAAAUGAAUGCAGGAUCGCAAUUUGUGUAGAGUUUAUAACAUCCUAUUAAAAAAAUGCUUUGGCAGCCCUUUUCUUUUAAGCUUUUAGAAAAACAUUCUGCAAGGAAAAAAAAUCUAAUUUUCUGAAUGAGCUGCCCUGACACAAGCUUUUUUUUAAGGGAAAAAAAAUUGAUCAAAUAAAUACUGGGAAAUUCGUGAAAAUUGAAUCAUGCUUUUGUUUCAUUUGGGCAUCGAAUCUGUCUAGAAAAACAUUAAUGCAACUUUAUAUCGAUUAGCUAGGAAAGCUCUCCCAGUAUGUUUUGAGAACACUUGGUCUAGACAUUAGAAACAAGUGAAAGUCGCUUGCUUCCUAGCUGAAGCUUCGUUUCUUCUGUCUCACCAUUGAAAUAGUCGAGGAUAUAUGCUGAAACAUAGAUGAUCUAGGAUUAAAGAUGCAGAAAGCACAUGAAUUCAUUCUUUAUGCGACUCCUUCAACAUAAUAGCAAAAGGAGAUGGUCUCUCAAAGUGUUUUUGGGUAGAGGUUAAAACACAAACCUGAAACCAAACACCAUCUGACAUGCAGCGAAAGAGUAAUCAACAGAAUUCGGAUAUACUAGUAUGAAAGCAGAUAAAAGGGCCCCAAGCUAUAAUUUGUGCAUGUCAGAAAGAGCUACAAUCAAAAUUCAUCCCACAAUAACUUUUGUAAGGACUGAUUAUUGAAGAAGUAUAUAGGACAUCGCAGGAUUCAAGAUGUGCUGGGUUGAAGCAUCAAGCUCGUCACAAGAAUUCUACAAUAAUAGUAUUGUCUAAAUGUUCAUCAAGAAUUUGAUGAUGAGGUAAUAUUUAUUUACCCCGAAUCUUGACCUUAAGUGUCCAUUUAACCUUUCCCUCUGGCAACGGAAUAGACUUUGGGAAGCGUAGUGGCACCUCAACUUGUACUUAUAUACAAGCGGGAUAGAUCCAAGAAGAGAAGAAAAUCACAUUCGAAUUUGUUCUUCUUCUCAUGUCUCUGUUUCUGUGUUUAUCUUUAUUGUAUAUUUGUAUAUAUCUAGGAGUUAUAACUUGAAAAACAUAAAGAGACAUGCCCAUUUCAAUACCAAAUAUCGAGUUCCUGACUUCCUGAGGCAAGAAGUUCAACCCCUUUGAGGUAUUUCCUCUGUACUCGUGUUUGUGCCUCAUGUUCUUAAGCAUCUGUCCAGUGAUGCUAGCAAGCAAGGGUCAAAAGACGUGAGCCAUUUGUUCUUAAUUAUUGUUCUCUGCAAAUAGGAAAUCAUAUGUACAGAAGCAGAUAAUGGAAUCAAUAACCUUCGGUCUACGUGUAUUUUCCUAUAAUAUCGAAAGGGGAAAAAAUUAUUCUUUGAAUUCGUCAAGAAUAUAUGAAGUAUGUUUAUAGAAAAGGAUGCCGAUAAUGUUGAAAUAGGAGAAAGAUUCCUUUUUGGUAUAUUUAUAAUCAAGUAAAAAUAUUCCUAGUUUAAAAAGAUUUGUAUUUAGGAUUUUAAAAAAUAAUCAAGUAAAAAUAAUUAUAAUCACAUUUCCAAAAAAAACUCUAUAUCCAAGUGAUUGACACUGAUUCUUCCAAGCUCAUCAAAUUUUUCGAAAUUAUUGUGGGAAAUCGUUUUAAUUUGUUUGGUAUUCACUUAUGAAACAAUUAACUUUUUUAUAUGUGUGCUGUGAAUUUUAAUUAUUUUAGAAAAUACAUAAUAAUAAUGAUAUUUUUCUUUCAAAGUCCGUACUUUAUUUAUAUAUGAAAGAUCAGAACAAACUAAAAGUAAAAUUGUGAUAAAAAUUAGUUUGGAUUUAAAAUUAGGAUUUUUUUUUUUAUGUUCGCCCAUAUGUAUGCGUGUAUGUAUAUAUGUAUGUAUUAAUUAUUAUUAUUAUUAUUAUUAUUAUAUUCUGUUUGGUCGUUUUGUACAUUUUGGUGGGCCAGGCCCAGGACCCCACAAGCACAAAAACAAAGGAGAAUCCAUGUGCACAAAUCUCUGUGGGACUCAUGCUCAAAAACUGAAUCCGUUGAUUCAUGUAUCUGGGGGUACUUAUCAAUAAAUCUAUGUGGAACACAAAUUUCUUUAAUUAAAUCAUGAGAUUAAUUAAUUAAUUAAUGAAACGGUGUCAAAAAAGUCUCUCUAUUUUAAUGUCAAAAAUCAACUCUUUGAAAAGAAAUAUAGAUUUACCAUUAAUAUCACAAAUACACACAUAAUUCAUUAAUAAUAUUAAAAUACAGUUAAUAAGUUGAUCAGGUUUCUGUUUAUAAAGAAUGAAUUAUAUUUUCAUUUAAUUAGAAAAACAGCAAUAUAUAGUUCAAAUUAAUUUGAUGGCGUGUCUUAAUAUAAUAGAUAUGGGUUAGAGGAGAGAGCCACCCUUUUCUAUGCAAUUCAAGGCUUUCGAGCUAUUUUUGUUGUCUCGUUUUGAUUAGAAGAUCAAUUAUUAUUUUCAAUAUCAUUUCGGAGGAACCUUCUGUCCAUUUUCGGAGCAAUUCAAGUUAGAAAACGAAGGCAGAGUCCACAUUGCUUCUUUGAACAAAUGGAUUGAAUUGUUAUUGAAAGAAAUCCCAAUUGUCACAACAUGAUAGGUCGUCUAGCUAGUUUUUCCAUGCAUUUAGCAAGUCGCCAUUGAUGAAGACCUUAAAGAACAUCCAGCCAACUCUAUAAAACAUAUCAUUUCAUUCCUUUGGUUUUUACAUAUACCAAAUAAAAGUUUUUCAUAGGUGAUCAUAUCUUGAUUUCAACAAUGAGUUACGGCAACAACAAUUAUCAAGCUUCUGCAGGUAAUUUAAUUUAUGUUCGGCUUCUAAAAAUCUUUUUUUUCCCCUUUUUUUUCUGUGAUUUAGGAAGUUAAUCAAUUGAUGGGUUACUAAAUUGAUGAUUUUUCAGGAGUAUAUCCUCCUCCUCCUCCUCCUCCUUCUUGGCCACCACCAGUGCAAGGGUACUAUGAAGCCGGUCCUCAUGUGGAACCACCUCGAGUUAGUGACCCUAUGAAAUAUGGUCCUCAACACCUCCAACAGCCACC
rnacentral:lncRNA from 1 species